UCCUACGGGGAGGCAGCAGUGGGGAAUUUUGGACAAUGGGGGCAACCCUGAUCCAGCAAUGCCGCGUGAGUGAAGAAGGCCUUCGGGUUGUAAAGCUCUUUUGUCCGGGAAGAAAUCCCAUCCCUGAAUACGGGAUGGGGAUGACGGUACUGGAAGAAUAAGCACCGGCUAACUACGUGCCAGCAGCCGCGGUAAUACGUAGGGUGCGAGCGUUAAUCGGAAUUACUGGGCGUAAAGCGUGCGCAGGCGGUUGUGCAAGACCGAUGUGAAAUCCCCGGGCUCAACCUGGGAACUGCAUUGGUGACUGCACGGCUAGAGUGUGUCAGAGGGGGGUAGAAUUCCACGUGUAGCAGUGAAAUGCGUAGAGAUGUGGAGGAAUACCGAUGGCGAAGGCAGCCCCCUGGGAUAACACUGACGCUCAUGCACGAAAGCGUGGGGAGCAAACAGGAUUAGAUACCCUGGUAGUCCACGCCCUAAACGAUGUCAACUAGUUGUCGGGGAUUAAUUUCCUUGGUAACGCAGCUAACGCGUGAAGUUGACCGCCUUGGGGAGUACGGUCGCAAGAUUAAAACUCAAAGGAAUUGACGGCGGGCGGGGGCGGCGG
rnacentral:rRNA from 1 species